rnacentral:snoRNA from 1 species
CAAACGCGCAUCCUUCAGACAGUGCUAACCAACAUAUCCAGUCUUGUUUUCCAGGGCUGGUCUCUAAUUUUGGCUUCUGGCAUUCUGUCAGGCCAUAUAAGGGUAUUCAAUUGCUGCGCUUAGCGAUAUUGUGAUGCGUAGACCAAAUUUCAGGGACUUCAUAAGAACUGGCCGGGCAUUUUUUUUUCUUGUUGCGCGGGCAGUGUCAGAGAAGUCAGACAAUCG